UGGAAAUGAUGAAAUAGAGAUACUUGGGUGUUGAAUGUUGUCAUGAGUGGAAACUUUUAAUACGUAGAGUAGUUCUCCUAGUUUAAUGUUUCAUUUAUACUUAAUAGUGUGAGUGCAUGCGUGCAUGUGUGUGUGUGUGUGGUGGCUAUGAAAGGGGGCACUGAAUGGUGAUGCUGAUAUUGGAGUGCAUCUGAGGCUGUUGUAGAAAUAACGUGGGUUGUUGAUUACAAUAUUGCCGAUGAUUAUAACCCAAAAACAGCUCACCUAAGUAGCCCAGCACCCUAAAAUCUCUAACAGGCUCAUUAAAUGUCCUGUGAUCUGAUCCAG
ensembl:scaRNA small Cajal body-specific RNA 7